rnacentral:rRNA from 1 species
UACGGAGGAUCCGAGCGUUAUCCGGAUUUAUUGGGUUUAAAGGGUGCGCAGGUUGUUUGAUAAGUCAGUGGUGAAAGUCUGUCGCUUAACGGUAGGAUUGCCAUUGAUACUGUUAGACUUGAAUAUGGAUGAGGUAGGCGGAAUGUGUAGUGUAGCGGUGAAAUGCAUAGAUAUACACAGAACACCGAUUGCGAAGGCAGCUUACUAAUCCAUCAUUGACGCUGAGGCACGAAAGCGUGGGGAUCAAACAGGAUUA